AAUAUGCUUCUCUAUAAUGAAUCACAUCACAUCUCUUCUGUGACUAACAAAUAUUUCAUUUUACAGACCACAAUAAUCACCUACAAAAAAUAAAAUUACCAACUGUCAUGAUUUUGUUUCCCAAAACUACUGGGACAAACUACUGAAUGCUAGAACUGUCAUUUUUCUAAUCAGGGUAUACAGCGCCCAAACCACAGCAGUCAACCUCAUCACAAAAUAACACCCAGUGCUCCCAAAGCCAGAGCGCUUUGUGGUUCCAUCAAGUAUGCCAUCACCAAACUACAAUGACAGGUCACGCAAGGUGGAAAGCUCCCAAGGCUCAGAAAAGGACUGACAAAAUACCAACUACCCGCAACGAUGUGGUGAUGACAUCGUCCCAACGUCCCGCUCCCUCCUUCCCUCCCAGAACUAAGCGGGGGCUUUUCGGAGACCCUCCCCACCCGGAACCGGAAAGGCGACCAUCUUCCCUAACCCCCCAAGCCGGAAGUGGAGCGUAGCCAGCCGGAGCACUCACCCUGGAAGAACAGGACGCCGAGCAGAGGGAAGAGAGCGCAGCCACGGCCUCCAGCUGCUCCGCUCUGCUGCAUCCCGGCAGCUCUCCAGAUGCUUGCACACCUUGUUUACAGCUCCCAGUAACGACACAGUAGUACCCAACACAGAUCUGAGCUCUACAGAGAGUUCCGGACUGGAGAGGCCAGUUUGAGGUCUUUCGCCCUUCUAGAAGAUGAGGAAAAUGACACUAGGACAUUUAGCGACUUGCCCAAGUUCACAUAGCUGGGAAGUAGUACAACUGGGCUUUAAUUCCAAACUCCAUGAUCCUUCCUCCACAAAACAAGCUUAAGACAGAAGAGGCAGAGCAGCAUGAAGGGAGCUGUUGAAGCCAUCUCAGGGGAGAAAAGAGGGCAGCAGACACAUUUUGUUUGAGAUAAUGUCGUAAGCAGGGAGGAGUAUGGAAUCAAUAACUCAAGCAACGGGAAGAGUUUGCCUGUUUAAAACUCAGAAUUGCAAGAAGACUUGCAGACCUAUUACACUCACAUCUCCUAGAUUGGCAUCUGGACAAGACACUACUCCUCAAGAUAUCAGUAGAACUUUCUGUUCACUGAAAAAAAUUGGGACAAUGCAUCUCAAAGUGUAGCCUGCAGACUACCUGGAAACUGUCACUGGUCCUUAAGGAGAUAAAUACAAAACCUGAGAGUAAGUAUUUAAAGUUAUUACAAGCAAUUUGACAUUGCCAUAACAUCCAAGGCUGUGAUCAGAGGACUCACUGGACAGGUUAUAGAACAGUGCAGGUGUUGCAAAUUGUAUGGCAGGAGUCAUCAUCAUAGAUCUGCCAAAUGCUGAAAAGCAGCAAAGGUGCUGAGUUAGCUAAGGCGUUUCAGCCUUUCUACCUUCCCCUCCAUUUCCCAUUGAGGCCUGAAGCUUCAAGAGAACAAGCAGGUUGGACUUGUCUGUUGAGAAGCCUUUCUGGGUAGAAAGGGCAGCCAGCUGCUUGUCCAGGCAGACAGGGUGUGAGUCUUCUCAGGUGAGUCAGAGGUAAAGAGGGAAGGCCUUCCUGCCUAGCUCAGUGAGGGGUCCACCCUUAGCUUUGGAAGACUCAGGAAAAAGUCCCAGCAACAUCGCUGUUUUCUUGCAGUUUGUUCCAAUGUUACAUGCUCUCUUGAGUGUCAAUAUCUGCUGAGCUACAUUAGCAGUAACCAAGAGGAAAGGAGGCUUUUAAAGCCAAAGAAAAAUUGUCAUUUAAAAUUGUUACCUUGGGUACAAGCUUUUAUUCUAAUGAUGCUGACAUUAUUCCAAAAAUUUCUAGAACAUUUUAAGAAUUGCCCUAGGAGUUUGAAUCAUAAUAUUUUUCGAUUUUUUUUUUUUUUUAAACCAGGGUCUU